rnacentral:lncRNA from 1 species
GUAAAUCCGACCGUGAAUCUGCAAGUAAUGUAAAUAACACAAGAUGUAUCGUGGUUCACCCCAAGGUUUGGGCUACGUCCACACUGAUUGUAUUGUAUUUCUCGGUUGAAGAGGGAGAGAGAGAGCUUAGAGCUUAGGGGGUGUGAGGAAGCUUAGGGUUUGUGAGGGUGAGGAGGCCCUUUUAUAGAAUAAGGGCUCCUCCCCUAAUUACAUAUUUGCCCCUUCCUUUAUUACAUAAUUACAUUUAAGUCCCUCGAGUAUUUAUACGAGGUCUAAAUAUGAGGCCCUAAAUAUGGUAUAAACAGUAGUCCCCCAAGUCUUCAGUCAAGAGAGUCUUUUGGCUGGAGACUUGAAAUUCAGUCCAUGUGUGGGCUGAAGUAACUAGAUGUUGUCUUGAACCGAUGUUCGAUAUGAGGCAGUGCUCAAUCUGAAAUGAUGCUCAACUAGAAGUAGCACACGCUGCUCGGCUGCUCGGCUCGUGGCUUAUGUUGCCUUGGCUAGCUCAGCUUGCGGCGUUUGAAGGUGAAUGAGUCCCUUUUAUAGAAUAAGGGCUCACUCCUCAAUACAUGGAUGAUGGGCUAGAGUUGAUGCUUUCUAAUGGUGGUGAGGGGAGUCCCUUUUAUAGAAUAAGGGCUCGUUCCUCAGUACAUGAAUAAUGGGUUAUGAGUGAUGCUCGUUGCGAGGCGGUUGCUCAGCUGGCGGCGGUGCUCUCUAACGAAGGUGAGGGAGUCCCUUUUAUAAAAUAAGGGUUCGCUCCUCAAUACAUAAGUGAUGGGCUAAGUCCCCCAAGUAUUUUUCACGAGUGCUCUCUAAUGAAAGUGAGGGAGUCCCUUUUAUAAAAUAAGGGUUCGCUCCUCAAUACAUAAGUGAUGGGCUAAGUCCCCCAAGUAUUUUUCAUGAGUGCUCUCUAAUGAAAGUGAGGGAGUCCCUUUUAUAAAAUAAGGGAUCGCUCCUCAGUAUAUAGCUAAUGGGCUAAGUCCCUCGAGUAUUUUUCAUGAGUGCUCUCUAAUGAAAGUGAGGGAGUCCCUUUUAUAAAAUAAGGGAUCGCUCCUCAGUACAUAGAUAAUGGGCUAAGUCCCCAAAGUAUUUUCAUGAGGCCUAGUUGAGGCCCAAUAUAUGGUACAUAAUGUUGUUCCCCAAGUCUUCGGUCAAUAGAGUCUGUUGGCUGGAGACUUUAAAUUGAAUCCAUGUAUGGGCUGAAGUGGCGGUUGUUCGGAGGCGGUAUUUGUACACCCUGCACUGAAGCUUUUUAGGGGAAGCUUUGAAAGUGAGGCUUUGAAGCUAGAGCUCUGUGAAUGAAGCUUUUGAAGCUAGAGCUUUUGUAAAUGAAUCGUUUAAAGCUAAUGGACAUGAGUGAUGCUCAUGAAUGUUUAUGUUGAUUGACAUGAGUGAUGCUCAUGGAUGUUGACAUGAGUGAUGCUCAUGAAUGUUUAUGUAUGAUUGGAUGAGUAAUGCUCAUGAAUGUUUAUGUAUGAUUGACAUGAGUAAUGCUCAUGUAUGAUUUGAAGUACUAGGCAUACUUUUGAUCACCUGGUUGGUGGCAUGAAGGAGAGUACGGGUUGUACAUUUCAUCACCUGGUUGGUGGCAUAAAUGGCUAGUUGCCAAAUGAUAUUAGAGUACGAGUUGUACAUUUCAUCACCUAGUUGGUGGCAUAAAUGGCUAGUUGCCAAAUGAUAUUAGAGUACGGGUUGUACAUUUCAUCACCUAGUUGGUGGCAUAAAUGGCUAGUUGCCAAAUGAUAUUAGAGUACGGGUUGUACAUUUCAUCACCUGGUUGGUGGCAUAAAUGGCUAGUUGCCAAAUGAUAUUAUAGUACAAGUUGUACAGUUCAUCACCUGGUUGGUGGCAUAAAUGGCUAGUUGCCAAAUGAUAUUAGAGUACGGGUUGUACAUUUCAUCACCUGGUUGGUGGCAUAAAUGGCUAGUUGCCAAAUGAUAUUAUAGUACGGGUUAUACAUUUCAUUACCUGGUUGGUGGUAAUAGCGGCAGGUUGCCGAAUAAUUUUUGGAGUACUGGGCGUACUUUUGAUCACCUAGUUGGUGGUAAUAACGGCAGGUUGCCGAAUAGUUGUGGAGUACUGGGCGUACUUUUGAUGACCUGGUUGGUGCUAUUUCGGGCUUAUGGGCUUUUGCCCUCCAUAACAUGCCAGCCCAUUUAUUUUGGGCUUUGCCUUUUUUUUUUUUUUUUUUUAAUACUAUUACCCUCUGAUGGGGUUUAUACAUAUUAAUUACCAUCUGAUAGGAUUUAUACAUAUUACCCUCUGAUGGGGUUUAUACAGAUGUCUUCAAAAGAUAAUAAAUUACAUCACUCUGGUAGGGUGUUUAUUUCUUGCUGUUGCUUCCUCUUUCUCUUUUCCUUUUGCUUUCCAUUGCGUCUCUGUCUCUUGGCGAAACUAGAGGGCUACCUCUCCUUGCUUUUCUUGGACAGCAAGGUCGUGCCCAUCACUCUUCUUUUUUCUUUUUCUCCACUCCAUUUCUUUGCCCAUCCAUGUUCCCCAUCCCUGUCUGAUGGGAUCCUUUAGGCGCAAUUUUUGAUAAUCUUCAAAUCCCUAAAGUAAAAUCAUCAUUGCAGGUAAUCAUUUUGUUUGCCAAACCACUUGCUUUUCUUGGACAGGUUGUGCACAUCCAUUCCCACUCCUCGUGCCCAUCAACAAAGAAAAACUGAGUAAAGGGAACUUUUCCAGGUCUUUGGUACUACCACCUUUUGACUUGAGACUUUUUCUCUUCCUAACUUGGUAGACAUAGAGAAUCACCAAUCAUAGUGCAGCUAUUCCGGCCAACGCAUCGUCAGAGACGUUGAGAAAUUGGAGGCCCUCGAGGCUGGAGACCAACUGAUCUGGCAGGUCGCCGGAGAUCACCUUGCUGGAGAGACAGAGGACCUGAAGUUCUACGUAUUGAAGGUCGCCAACCCAGAUGGUCUGAUCUCAUCGUUGGGCCCCUGUUUUGUGACGGCAGCUGCUGCUGCUGCAGCUGCUUCGACGGUUGUUGAUACACCACAGCCUGAGGCUUCUGCUGGUACUGAUUGUGGUGAGGAUGGUGAGGAGCCGCCCCGUAAGGCAUGUAACGUUGCGGUGGAGAGAGGGCGGCCGGAGCCGUCAUUGUCGACAAGCAUGGUGGCAAGGAUGACUUCGAUGCUAGUACUGGUGAUGAGGUCGAAGAAAUCGACGAUUUGAGCGUGGACGUCGCCAGUUUUGGGUCGGAUCUGAUCUUCGAGGUGGAUCAAGGUGGCUCUGGUUUAUGGAUAUAUUUCUCUGACACCUGUUCCCCUUGGAUGAGCACUUCCUGGACAGUUUUGGAUCCUAAUAACUCCAUCUUCGCAAGCUUUUGUAAUUUUGAGUUGCAAAUUAAAGAUCUGCAAACUGGGCGAGUGUGAUGACCCAGUCAUCCUUGUGGGCACCCCUGUAAAUGCUAGUGCCACCACAUGGUGGUGAUGCAGAAGAAGAUGGUGAUCCCUGAAUGAGCGAGCAAGUGCGGAGCAGAGUAUUGUGAUCGAAUGGUGCCUAGAAGCCGUUGUUGGGCUUCAGCAUCAGGUGAGUAUGGUUGGUUAACAAUCGCGAAGAGGUAACGCAAAGCCAUAUAAAGUAGCUACUGUGCAGAUUUGGAGGUUUACCGAUGUUGAAGGACAAUACUUUGAAGAGGAAGACUGGUGAAGUUUGAAGGACAGUGCUUUAAAGCAGUGCACGCACAUACGCACAGGGUGUGCGUUUUGGUGUUAAUGGGUCUUGGUUUUGGGCCAAUUGAGACUUGGACACUUUUGAGACAGAGCAGAGAAGAAAGAAGAGGGGGGUCGGUGUCUCUUGGGUUUUGCAGAUCCACGGUGGACAGUGGUGAGGUUUCACGGUGGUGAAAUGAAAAAUGAAAGAAAACCGACAUAGUUUUUUGUGUCGAUUCCCACAGACGGCGCCAAAUAUUGAUGCACAAAACUAGAUGUCUUGGAACAACGUAAAUCCGACCGUGAAUCUGCAAGUAAUGUAAAUAACACAAGAUGUAUCGUGGUUCACCCCAAGGUUUGGGCUACGUUCACACUGAUUGUAUUGUAUUUCUCUGUUGAAGAGGGAGAGAGAGAGCUUAGAGCUUAGGGGGUGUGAGGAAGCUUAGGGUUUGUGAGGGUGAGGAGGCCCUUUUAUAGAAUAAGGGCUCCUCCCCUAAUUACAUAUUUGCCCCUUCCUUUAUUACAUAAUUACAUUUAAGUCCCUCGAGUAUUUAUACGAGGUCUAAAUAUGAGGCCCUAAAUAUGGUAUAAACA